UUAGAGGAAGUAAAAGUCGUAACAAGGUCUCCGUUGGUGAACCAGCGGAGGGAUCAUUACCGAGUUUACAACUCCCAAACCCCUGUGAACAUACCUAUACGUUGCCUCGGCGGAUCAGCCCGCGCCCUGUAAAACGGGACGGCCCGCCCGAGGACCCUAAACUCUGUUUUUAGUGGAACUUCUGAGUAAAACAAACAAAUAAAUCAAAACUUUCAACAACGGAUCUCUUGGUUCUGGCAUCGAUGAAGAACGCAGCAAAAUGCGAUAAGUAAUGUGAAUUGCAGAAUUCAGUGAAUCAUCGAAUCUUUGAACGCACAUUGCGCCCGCCAGUAUUCUGGCGGGCAUGCCUGUUCGAGCGUCAUUUCAACCCUCAAGCUCAGCUUGGUGUUGGGACUCGCGGUAACCCGCGUUCCCCAAAUCGAUUGGCGGUCACGUCGAGCUUCCAUAGCGUAGUAAUCAUACACCUCGUUACUGGUAAUCGUCGCGGCCACGCCGUAAAACCCCAACUUCUGAAUGUUGACCUCGGAUCAGGUAGGAAUACCCGCUGAACUUAAGCAUAUCAUA
rnacentral:rRNA from 1 species